rnacentral:rRNA from 1 species
UACGUAGGGUGCAAGCGUUGUCCGGAAUUAUUGGGCGUAAAGAGCUCGUAGGCGGUCUGUCGCGUCUGCUGUGAAAACUCGGGGCUUAACCCCGGGCCUGCAGUGGGUACGGGCAGACUAGAGUGCGGUAGGGGAGACUGGAAUUCCUGGUGUAGCGGUGAAAUGCGCAGAUAUCAGGAAGAACACCAACGGCGAAGGCAGCUCGCUGGGACGGUACUGACGCUGAGACGCGAAAGCGUGGGGAGCGAACAGG